rnacentral:rRNA from 1 species
CGUCAAGUCAGUAUGGCCCUUACGGCCAGGGCUGCACACGUGCUACAAUGCCCAGUACAGUGGGAGGCGAAACCGCGAGGUGGAGCAAAUCCUCAAAACUGGGCCCAGUUCAGAUUGGAGUCUGCAACUCGACUCCAUGAAGCCGGAAUCGCUAGUAAUGGCGCAUCAGCUACGGCGCCGUGAAUACGUUCCCGGGCCUU